GGCCAUGAAAAUUUUAUAAAUUGAUUUCUUGUUAAUAUAAGGGUGGAUGAGGUGUCCUGCGUGUAAGGGGUCCUUGGUAGCAAUUUUAAGCGGGUACAUCGCUGUCACUCCGCGUUAACAAGCAUAAACGAGAGGAAAUGAAGUGAAAAACAGGUUCGAAGGGUUGAUGCAAGAUUUGUAACGGAAGGAGUCAACUUGAUAUGUCCUAGCGACAUGCGACAGGUAGCUCGGGGACGUCCGCGUACCGCCUGUUCCAUCAAGUCAACGUCGGUUAAAAAAAGUUAAUGUCGGUCAAGCUGUGGACCCCCGCGACACGCGAGGGGUGGGAUGAUUUCUGUUUACGGGAAACUUAUUUCAUCUCUUAAGCUAUUCAUGCAUUUCUAAUCGAUUCGGGAUGACAACUGAAGGUGUGAAGACGACCAUGAGCAGCUAAACUCUCUUUGACUUCCACCCGGAUGAACGUUUGCUUGUUUUGACACAACUAUUUAGUUUAUGAUUCUUGUAAA
rnacentral:lncRNA from 1 species